CGCGGUAAUACGUAGGUGGCAAGCGUUGUCCGGGAUUUACUGGGCGUAAAGGAUGUGUAGGCGGAUACUUAAGUGAGAUGUGAAAGCCCCGGGCUUAACCUGGGGACUGCAUUUCAAACUGGGUAUCUAGAGUGCAGGAGAGGAAAGCGGAAUUCCUAGUGUAGCGGUGAAAUGCGUAGAGAUUAGGAAGAACAUCAGUGGCGAAGGCGGCUUUCUGGACUGUAACUGACGCUGAGGCAUGAAAGCGUGGGGAGCAAACAGGAUUAGAUACCCUGGUAGUCCACGCCGUAAACGAUGAGUACUAGGUGUAGGAGGUAUCGACUCCUUCUGUGCCGCAGUUAACACAAUAAGUACUCCGCCUGGGAAGUACGGUCGCAAGAUUAAAACUCAAAGGAAUUGACGGGGGCCCGCACAAGCAGCGGAGCAUGUGGUUUAAUUCGAAGCAACGCGAAGAACCUUACCUAGACUUGACAUCUCCUGAAUAGCGUAGAGAUACGUGAAGCCCUUCGGGGCAGGAAGACAGGUGGUGCAUGGUUGUCGUCAGCUCGUGUCGUGAGAUGUUGGGUUAAGUCCCGCAACGAGCGCAACCCUUAUCAUUAGUUGCUACCAUUAAGUUGAGCACUCUAGUGAGACUGCCCGGGUUAACCGGGAGGAAGGCGGGGAUGACGUCAAAUCAUCAUGCCCCUUAUGUCUAGGGCUACACACGUGCUACAAUGGUGAGAACAACGAGAUGCAAUACCGCGAGGUGGAGCCAAACUUGAAAACUCAUCCCAGUUCGGAUUGCAGGCUGAAAUUCGCCUACAUGAAGUUGGAGUUGCUAGUAAUCACGAAUCAGAAUGUCGCGGUGAAUACGUUCCCGGGCCUUGUACACACCGCCCGUCACACCAUGAGAGCUGGUAACACCCGAAGU
rnacentral:rRNA from 1 species